rnacentral:rRNA from 1 species
UACAGAGGUCUCAAGCGUUGUUCGGAUUCAUUGGGCGUAAAGGGUGCGUAGGCGGCGCGGUAAGUCGGGUGUGAAAUCUCGGAGCUCAACUCCGAAAUUGCACUGGAUACUGCUCUGCUAGAGGGCUGGAGAGGAGAUCGGAAUUCACGGUGUAGCAGUGAAAUGCGUAGAGAUGUGGAGGAACACCAGUGGCGAAGGCGACUCUUUGGCCUGUAACUGACGCUGAGGCGCGAAAGCGUGGGGAGCAAACAGG